rnacentral:rRNA from 1 species
CUAGCAUAUCAUAAGCGGAGGAAAAGAAACUAACAAGGAUUCCCUCAGUAACGGCGAGUGAAGCGGGAAGAGCUCAAAUUUAAAAUCUGGUUUACUUGUAAGCCCGAGUUGUAGUCUGAAGAAACGUUUUCCAUAAGCACUGAGGCAAAAGUCCCUUGGAACAGGGCAUCAUAGAGGGUGAGAAUCCCGUCCAUGGUCUCAAGUUGUUUAUUUUGUGAUACGUUUUCAAAGAGUCAGGUUGUUUGGGAAUGCAGCCUAAAAUGGGUGGUAAAUUUCAUCUAAAGCUAAAUAUUGGCGAGAGACCGAUAGCGAACAAGUACCGUGAGGGAAAGAUGAAAAGAACUUUGAAAAGAGAGUUAAACAGUACGUGAAAUUGUUGAAAGGGAACCGUUUGAAGCCAGUCUUACUUGCCUGUGAUCAAUUUUUGCUUCGGCAUGAAUGCACUCUCGGGUAUGGUAGGCCAACGACAGUUUGGAAUGCGAGAAAAAAAUAGGGGAAAUGUGGCCUUCGGGUGUUAUAGUCCCUUAUAAAAUAUCGUGUCCUGGACUGAGGAUCGCAGUGAAAAUGUGGGCAGGUGGAUUUCUGUGGUAACUGUCGGUUAGGACAACUUGUUGACCUAGCUUUCCUUAGCCUCACUAUUUACCUUGCUUCUAAUUUGCUUAGGUCGUUGGCAUAAUGGCUUUAAAUGACCCGUCUUGAAACACGGACCAAGGAGUCUAACAUAUAUGCGAGUAUUUGGGUGGCAAACCCAUAUGCGCAAUGAAAGUGAAACUAGGUGCCAAACCUUCACGGGUGGCAGCAUCGGCCGGCUUCGACGUUUUAACUGAAGAGUCUGAGCAGAAGCAUACAUGUUGGGACCCGAAAGAUGGUGAACUAUGCCUGAAUAGGGUGAAGCCAGAGGAAACUCUGGUGGAGGCUCGUAGCGAUUCUGACGUGCAAAUCGAUCGUCAAAUUUGGGUAUAGGGGCGAAAGACUAAUCGAACCAUCUAGUAGCUGUCUGCG